rnacentral:rRNA from 1 species
NGGUGGCGGCCAUAGCGGCGGGGCAAUUCCUGUACCCAUCCCGAACACAGAAGAUAAGCCCGCCUGCGUUCUAUACUGUACUAAAGUAUGAGAGUCUUUGGGAAAUAUGGAACGCUGCCACCAAC